GCGCGUUUUAUUGAGCCCGGGCGUUGGCCUCCGGAGCCAAAGGCCGCAGGUUCGAAUCCUGCAUCGCGCG
rnacentral:tRNA from 1 species